CUAAAAGAUUGUUCACCACAACACUAUUGUAGUGAGUAACUAAUGGAUGAUGGGAACAAUUAAUUGGAUUAAUUAUGUGUUGUGAUUAAUUUAGAAAAGUCUAAAGAAAUCAUAAAAGCGAUAAAGAUCGUUUUGGGCUUAAAGAAACGUUCGGGUUUAAUUAGGCCCAUUGGGCCUAAACCCAUUGGGCUUUCAUUCAAGCAUUGGAUGACUUGAAAUAAUAAAAGCCCAAAGCCCAAAAACAACACAAGAGGGCCGGCCAUAUUAUGUGGGUUUUGGAGAGAUAUUUAGUCAAGUGUUGACUAGGUUUUCUUUUUGUCUAUAUAAGCAACUUUAUAAGAUAUUGUUCAUGAGGGUUUUUUUGUGAGUUUUGAACAACA
rnacentral:lncRNA from 1 species